GAUCAGUAGGGAAGCAACCACCGGAGAGACCACACGCAUCCUGUGGCCUCCCGAGCUGGGAAGCGGCGGAGGGUGCCAAGGGAGCAGUGGACUGGCCUGGGCCACUGAGGCCACUAGCUGAUUCAGACCUGGGGGAAGCAGACAACAGACCCGGACCGCCCAGACCGUCAUCAGACCCUGACCACGGAGGGAGAAGACGACUGGCUCGGACCACCGACGGACCAGACCCCCCAAAGACUUGCUCAUGGUCCCAGAAGCCGCCGUCAACCUUGACCCCUCCUCAUGGCAACAAGUGCUGUAUAUCAACAUGUGGUGCAGCCUCACUUAAUUCAGCCUGACACCGUUCCGUGGAAGAACAGGUAGCAAAAAGGCAGUAACAGCACAAGCAUCCUCACUCUGGAAAGGCUACUACAGAUGAGGACAAGGCUUAUAAUUUCCUGACAACACAAUCCUCAGCCUCUGAAGCAGCCUGAAGUAGUUGCCAUCUAUGCUAAGUAUUCCUUUCCUAAAUAUAGACACCCACAACAGGAUGGAGACUAAUAAUUCACACGCUGUGAGCUAUCAAACAUCCGUAUACAUGAACAUCUGUGUCACAUCUCACCUGGGCCAAACGGAAGCCUAUGAUCAAUGAAGAAAGGCUCUCCACUGCAGUGCCAUUCUCCAGAGCCUCCCCACUUUACAAAACCACAUUUAAUUGGUAUGAAAUAAGGUACUGCCAGCCAGCAAGACAACACACUAACAUCCCACAUGGUAAUUGCCUGCAUUUAAAAAUAGGAAUUGAAGCCAAGAUUCUGAAGUGUGAUUAAUGAUAUUUGGGUGCUCAACUUCAGACAUUCUGAAGGAAGUACUGAGCUCAGCCUCUGAAAACCAGGCUCUUUUAGAAGGAAUAUAAAGCUGAGCAUCCAAAAAUUCAGGUACCCAAAA